GAUGAAGAACGUAGCGAAAUGCGAUAAGUAGUGUGAAUUGCAGAAUUCAGUGAAUCAUCGAAUCUUUGAACGCACAUUGCGCCCCUUGGUAUUCCAUGGGGCAUGCCUGUUCGAGCGUCAUUUGUACUCUCAAGCUAAGCUUGGUGUUGGGUGUUUGUCCACUCCCUCGUGUUUGGACUCGCCUUAAAACAAUUGGCAGCCAGUGUUUUGGUAUUGAAGCGCAGCACAAUUUGCGAUUCUAGCUUAGAAUACUAGCAUCCAUCAAGUCAUUUUUAACGCUUGACCUCGGAUCAGGUAGGGAUACCCGCUGAACUUAAGCAUAUCAAUAAGCGGAGGA
rnacentral:misc_RNA from 1 species